AGUUCGGUCCCUAUCUGCCGUGGGUGUAGGAAUAUUGAAAGGAUCUGUCCCUAGUACGAGAGGACCGGGAUGGACGGAUCUCUGGUGGACCUGUUGUGGCGCCAGCCGCAUAGCAGGGUAGCUAUAUCCGGACGGGAUAACCGCUGAAGGCAUCUAAGCGGGAAACCCACCUUAAAACGAGU
rnacentral:rRNA from 1 species